rnacentral:rRNA from 1 species
AAUUGGAGGGCAAGUCUGGUGCCAGCAGCCGCGGUAAUUCCAGCUCCAAUAGCGUAUAUUAAAGUUGCUGCAGUUAAAAAGCUCGUAGUUGAAUUUCGGGACCAAUAUGUCGGUCGUGCUUUUGUACGUACUGAUAUAAUUGGUUUCUCCCUUCUGAAGAACCUUGAUGUCAUUAAUUUGGUGUCUUGGGGAAUCAGGACUGUUACUUUGAAAAAAUUAGAGUGUUUAAAGCAGGCUCGCGCUUGAAUACAUUAGCAUGGAAUAAUGAAAUAGGACGUUUGAUUCUAUUUUGUUGGUUUCUAGGAUCGACGUAAUGAUUAAUAGGGAUAGUUGGGGGCAUUAGUAUUCAAUUGUCAGAGGUGAAAUUCUUGGAUUUAUUGAAGACUAACUACUGCGAAAGCAUUUGCCAAGGAUGUUUUCAUUAAUCAAGAACGAAAGUUAGGGAAUCGAAGACGAUCAGAUACCGUCGUAGUCUUAACCAUAAACUAUGCCGACUAGGGAUCGGAUGAUGUUAAUUUUUUAAUGACUUAUUCGGCGCCUUACGGGAAACCAAAGUGU